AUACGUAGGUGGCGAGCGUUAUCCGGAAUUACUGGGUGUAAAGGGAGCGCAGGCGGGGGUGCAAGUUGGAUGUGAAAUACCGCAGCUUAACUGCGGAGCUGCAUCCAAAACUGUAUUUCUUGAGUGAAGUAGAGGUAGGCGGAAUUCCUAGUGUAGCGGUGAAAUGCGUAGAUAUUAGGAGGAACACCAGUGGCGAAGGCGGCCUACUGGGCUUUAACUGACGCUGAGGCUCGAAAGUGUGGGGAGCAAACAGGAUUAGAUACCCUGGUAGUCCACACCGUAAACGAUGAUUGCUAGGUGUGGGGGGACUGACCCCUUCCGUGCCGGAGUAAACACAAUAAGCAAUCCACCUGGGGAGUACGACCGCAAGGUUGAAACUCAAAGGAAUUGACGGGG
rnacentral:rRNA from 1 species